UACGUAGGGUGCAAGCGUUAAUCGGGAUUACUGGGCGUAAAGCGUGCGCAGGCGGUUGUGCAAGACAGAUGUGAAAUCCCCGGGCUCAACCUGGGAACUGCAUUUGUGACUGCACGGCUAGAGUGUGUCAGAGGGGGGUAGAAUUCCACGUGUAGCAGUGAAAUGCGUAGAGAUGUGGAGGAAUACCAAUGGCGAAGGCAGCCCCCUGGGAUAAUAUUGACGCUCAUGCACGAAAGCGUGGGGAGCAAACAGG
rnacentral:rRNA from 1 species